ACGGUGGAUUCAAGGCCGUGUUAUUUUCUGUUCAGUGCAUGUCCCUGACAGUCUGCACUUCCCACUGGUUGCAGUGUUGCCUUGUGGCACCUCCCUAGGACCGGCUCCAUUUUUCUAUGUGCUCUUCCUGCUGGGCAGGAGCUGGCUCCACAAUCCAGCUGGAAACUGGCUGCUUGCUGCUCCAGCUGUGUUCAGCGCACACUAUUCGGUGCUGCGUCCAGGCAAUGGGUGAGCUGUACUGGGAGCUGCUGGUCCAGCCUGAGCACAUGGGCUUUCCUGGUUUUGCACUUACAGAGCACCCUCAAGCAGCCCUCUUGGUUAUGGUGCGGGGAAGAGACUCCAGCUUCUCCCCUCCAAGAAAAACUGACCCAAGGAAUUUUUCUUACCUCAGCAACAAAUUCAGACUCAGCUGCAGCUGCUAAGGGGAGAGAGGGAGGGACUUGAAGCACUGCGAGGGAAUGAAAGUCAGAAACACCAGGAAUACCAGUGUUGCACAGGACUGAAGCUGGCCAGAUGGGCAUGGGCAGAAGCCACCUUAAUGUCCCAGCAGGCAGAACCUGGCUUUGGAGGGCCCCCCAACUCCACCUCCCCACCAGGGUACAACCAGAGCCCAGCGUGCAAGCAGCUCACAGUGGGAGGAGCAAAAGGCAGCAGCCGAGAGGCAGAAGAUUGUGGCUGCAUUUGAGCGACUGCGCCAGUUUCUGGAGGAACAAGAGCAACUCAUGCUGGCUGAGCUGGGAGAGGUGGAGAGCAGCAUUGAGAAGAGUCAGGGGGAGACUGUCACCCAACUCUCCGAGGAGAUUUCCCAUCUCGCCAACCUGAUCAGGGAGCUGGAGGGGAAGUGCCAGCAGGCCGCCAGUGACCUCCUGCAGGACAUGAGGAGCACGCUGAGCAGGUACGUGGCUCCACCUGACUCCCCGUAGAGGGAAGGGUCCUGGAGACAAUGCAAUGGGCACAUCCCUGCAGGGCACCACAGCACAGCAAGCGCUGGGACUGUCCCUGAGGUGGGAAGCAUGAACGUCCCCCUCUUCUGCUCGGGGAAGUGACAGCUUUGGGCACUGGCAGCCUGAAAACUGUAAGGUGGUUGCAGUGCAGGCAGGAAAAACUUUCUUGAGUUGCAGUUACAGACAAACACAAGUGGAGUUUGCUAGGCUCCACCGAAGACACACGCAUGGAGUUUGCUAGGCUCCACCGAAGACACACGCAUGGAGUUUGCUAGGCUCCGCAAAAACAAACACAACAGAGCUCUGGAUACCCUUGACGAGCGCGCAAAACCAUAGAUACGUCUUAAGAAUUUAACGAAUGAGACGGGAAGAGGUUGGUGGUUGAUCAGGCCGCCGAACUCCUCUGAGACACACACAAAGUUUCUAUUACUCUGCCGCGUGCUCAGAGUCCCCACGAGAUGGUUGUGGAGUCCUCUACAACUUGGGCGGAAACUGCUCAAACCUCUUAUACGACUAGCAAGCCAAUCGCUAGCCACCACGUGGGAAUAAUUUAGAAACAGCCAAUAGUGGGAAACAAAUUUACAUACAGGUGGCAGGAACUCCUUUGCACCGGGGUUUUCUCUCUGCAGCUGAGAAUUGCACCGUGCAAAGAAAGCUCCAUGUGGCGGGAAAUAAUUCUGCAGUGCCGAAGCGCACACACAAUCAUUGGGUCAUGACAGCCACCAGAGCUUGAGCCAACUACCCAUGAAGUCUCAGCUCCUUUCUGAUCCCAGGAAAUGUCCUGCGCAUUUUGGAGCUGAAGAAAAUUUAUCAGUUCCUGCUGGGGUAGCUGCCACUGCCACUGUCUGUGCUGCCCCUGCCCCUGCAGCUGAGGCACAUGGCCAGAGUCAGUCUCCAGGUCUCUCCAUCCACCCAAUGAUUUUACCAGGAAGCUGAGCUGCAAAAAGAAAAUCAAAUAACACGGACUAGUUUGUUCCCAGGUACAAGAAGGAGCAGUUCCAGCUGCCAGAGGGGAUUUGCCCAGAGCUGGAAAACGAGACUCGGUGUCUUCUCUGGACAAAAUUUAGCUCUCUAGGAGACUUUAAAGAAGUUUCAAGGUACUGAGAAGGGGGCUGCGAAAGGGAAGAGGGAAGUGUCCGUGUUGAGGAGGAUGAGACAAGCAGUUGGUUCUAAUUUAGAGCCAGCAUCUUUUUUAAUUGGGAGAUAAACUGAACGUGCUGGACUCAUAUCGCAGGUAGCAGGAAUGAAGACACAAGACAAGGGCCUCUCUUUGCCUUUGGGCAAAUCACUAAUGAACCAGGGCUUCUCUGGGGGACCUGGGUCCUAAGCUGAAGGCCGCUGCUGCUCCAACGCUGCUCAGCAUGGGCACCUGCAGCUGGGGUGGUGGGAGCUGCGGGGCCCUGCCCCACUCAGAGCGAGCCCCCAGUGCCUCAUGUCAGGCCACCAAAGUUAAGAGCCAAAACUGAACAUGCGGCAGGCUGUCAGGUUUGGAUCCUGCUGGCUUGACCCCAGAGGUACAGGGGGGAGGGCUCCCAACGGGAAGGAGAGGAGCAGGGAGGGAGCAGAGCAGGCAGGUGGGGGUGUCCCGGGUGAAGCUGCACCUCUGGUAUCCUGCAUCCCCACAGGGGCCGCUGGAGCAGAGGGGGACUCUGCCUGGACCCCUGGACUUCCCCAGCCAGUGCUGGCCCUUGCCUGUGAACAAGAGAAUUGCAAAGUUUAACCCCUUCUCCUGGGCUCCCCUUCUACCCCCGUGUCACAGAGCGCUGAGGUGCCCUGCUCCUAUGAAGGGAAAAAAACUGCUGGGGAAAGAGCCCUAGCAGGGAAGAAGGAGCCCAGCUGUGGGUUGCCAGGGCAAACAGGGAAGGUCAGCUGACCAGAAGGGGCAGGGGCUGGUUCCCUUAUAAACCCAAGGAGCUGAGGCCAGAGGUGGUUUCCUGCCAGCAACCAUGAAGGAAGGAGCUCUCUCAUGGGAGGGAUGGAGUAUUUCCCAGUAGGUUUGAGCGUUGUUAUGGCCAGGCAGCUUCUGUCUAAGUUAUAGCUGGUGGGCUUGCAUUUUUGUGUUGUUGUUUAUCACCAGUGGUUUGGGUGAGGCUAUUAGGGGUUGGGGGAGGCCUCAGAGGGGACUCACAGUGGAGUGUGAGGACCCCAGCGCUGGUGAGGGUGCAGCAUUCGGGGUGCAUAGACCCCGGCCCGAAAGCAGGGGGCAGCAUCAUUGAGAAGGCCCCGGAGAGGGGACACUACUGAGAAGCCCAAGUGUGGGUGCGGCAAGCCCAGAGAGGGCACAACAUUACUGAGAAGCCCCAGGGAGGGGGCGGCCUUAUGGAGAAGCCCCAGUGUGGGCGCGGUGAGCCCCGGAGAGGGGUGUCAUUAUUGAGAAGUCCCAGUGUGGACAUGGAGGCCCCAGAGAGGAGGCAGCAUUGUAGGUAAGGCCCCGGAGAAGAGGGCACAGUUAGAGAGAGCCACAGAGAGCCCUAGCACCGGAGGGAGCGUGUAUCAAAGGAAGGAAAGCCCAGAGAGGACGAGAGGGGGCCAGAUAGUGAUAGAGCUGAGACAACGGCUAUUCCAUCGGCGAGGUGUGGACUGCAGUGUAAGGGAGGAAACGGAGCUGCAGGUAGCACCCCCUGGCCACGGGGCUGUACAAGGGCAGCCUCCUGCUAAUUAACAUCAAUUAACAACAAGGCAUGGCAGGCGAGUAGGUGGGUGGUUGCCCUAGGAACAGGUGUGUGGGCCACGUUUAGGCCGGCCCAGAGCGGAUACCUGUUACACCCUGCUGCUUGUCCCUUUCUGUCAAUGAGUGAGUGGCUCUCCCUGAUGUCUAAGGGGCAGGAUGGGCUGGGUACUGAGCUCCCCUGGGUCCAUGGCUGUUACAUUUCUCCCCCUACUCCUCUGCCUGCAACUGCAGCUCCCUCCCACCCUGUCCUAGGAGAGGAGGCCGCGCUGCAGGGGAGCAGGGAGAUGUGAAGGCAGUUUCUGCCGCCACAGUCCCAGCAGCAGGGGAGGAGCUGCCCCAGUGCCCCUGCUCCGUCUUGGGGGCUCAGGACCAAGGCAGGUCCCAGCUUGAAGUGUGAACCAGACUCUUGUAACCCAGGCGGUAUUCCAAAAGGUACCCCCUCUCCAAUUUGAAGGGAUCAGAGCAGGUGCACAGGUGCUGUGGGAGGUGUAGGGACUCUCCUCCCCCUAUAGAGCAGAGCCAGACCACCACUGGGGACUUAACCAUAUACCUUUUAAUGAGGGAACAUAACAGGCAUACUCAGGGGGGUAUAGUGGACACCACAAUGCCCCAAGGGGCAGGAUUCAACAAAGGUUAGAUGCUUACAAUCAUUGACAAAAGACAGGGUUAACAAAAUAUAAAACACAAACAACAGAGCAAACAAUACUGGUUAGGGAAAUAUAAAAAGGCACAAAAUGUCGAAGGACAAAGAAAUAUAGGGUCUAGGUACCUGGAGGGGGAGAAAGGGGGAAAACACAAUGGCCCCUCCCCUUGCAAGAGGAAUUUUUCCUUGUUAGCUCACUUGCCCCAAGUCACCAAAGCUGGGACUUGAACUUGGAUGUCCCAGGUGGCAGGCAGAAACACUGCCACACAGCCACCAGUGCUGGCACUGCUCUAUGCUGCUAGGGGUCUUGACCUUCCAGGAGUCCCGGCCUCAGGUCAAGCUGCCUGGCCUCUGAUUGGAGGAGCUGGAAGCCGAGCUGGGAACCUCUCAGGUCACUGCUCAGAUCCUUGCUGAAGCGGAAAGCCUCUCCUGCUGGCCACAGCCUCUCGUAGGGGAUCCUAGAGCCCAGCAGGACGCCUCUCCUGCCGGCCACAUGCCACUCUGCUGAGGGUCCCACUGCUGCCUGCAGGUCCUGCUCCUUCAGGCUCUUCUGGGGCAACUGCUCCCGCCGCUGGCUCAGCUCUUACCAGCUCUUUGACGCUCCUUCCUCAUGGUGCCUCACUGGUCUCUUCCCUGAGUCAGCCACACUACCCCUUUUAUCCCUCUCCAGGUGACCCAAGGGGCCAAUCAGAGGACAUGAGGGGUGAGUCUCUGGGGCCUGAUUGAUGAGGAAAGGGAAUCCCAAGUCCUCCAAUCACCUUUUGCCCUUUCAAACCCCCUGGGCUAGGUCACUGCCAGCCAGCCCAUCACAUGUUGGAGGUCUAAUGUCUGUGCCCCUUUCCCCUGCAGAGACUCUGCCAUCCGCCCUGGAGAAGGGCAAAGGGAGACCACAGGAAUCGUACACAAAGGCGACGGUGACUCUGGAUCCAGACACGGCAAAUCCCUACCUUGUUCUGUCUGCGGUUUGGAGAAGUGUGAGACGUGAAGGCACACACCAGCAUCUGCCUUACAUUCCUAAGAGAUUUGAUAUAUACUCGUGUGUGCUGGGCCAUGAGGGAUUCACCUGGGGGAGACACUGCUGGGAGGUGGAGGAGCUGCCCUGGUGCGAGAUGCCAUCUGUACCGACAAGCCCAUCCCGUUGCAGCAGGCAGCACCAGGCCGGUCUGUCCUGGCUCUCGAUGACCCUGGAGGAGUUGAGGGCGGCCACCGGAACAGACCCUUGGGGACGCCGCCAGCUUUGUGGCCACUACCCCCUGCAGUGCCAGCAGCCCAGGACUGGGGCUCAGGGCCAAGUGCCUCUGGGUGCCCUUUGCCCAGAGCCUGGCUGGGGCUGGGGGUGUGGAUGGGGGGCCGCCUGGUCUGGAGCCUGAGCCCAGCCUGGCACUGCCUGUGGGAAGCUGCUGGGCUGGUCUGUGCUUGAGCUGGUUUUUCCCGUGCAGCAAAGGCCCCUGGGCUGGGGCUUCUCCGAGCUGGAAGAGUUUCACUCAGGGCAGGCGCCUCCCUGCAUCCGGCUCCUCCGACACGGACGGUUCCCUUGUACGGCCUGGCCCUGCGCCCCUUGUGGCUUCAUGUCCAGAGAUCUCAAUAAAUAUCUCACCUGGGG